AGCAGCCGCGGUAAUUCCAGCUCCAAUAGCGUAUAUUAAAGUUGCUGCAGUUAAAAAGCUCGUAGUUGAAUUUCGGGAUCAAUAUGUUGGUCGUGCCUUGGUGCGUACUAGUUUAUUGAUUUCUCCCUUCUGACGAACUAUGAUGCCAUUAAUUUGGUGUCAUGGGGAAUCAGGACUGUUACUUUGAAAAAUUAGAGUGUUUAAAGCAGGCUCACGCUUGAAUACAUUAGCAUGGAAUAAUAAAAUAGGACGUUUGAUUCUAUUUUGUUGGUUUCUAGGAUCGACGUAAUGAUUAAUAGGGAUAGUUGGGGGCAUUAGUAUUCAAUUGUCAGAGGUGAAAUUCUUGGAUUUAUUGAAGACUAACUACUGCGAAAGCAUUUGCCAAGGAUGUUUUCAUUAAUCAAGAACGAAAGUUAGGGGAUCGAAGACGAUCAGAUACCGUCGUAGUCU
rnacentral:rRNA from 1 species